GCGCAGACAGCUAGAGCUGGAGAAUAACCUCAGUCAGGUUCAGGACGUAACCAUGGAGAUCCAGGAUCUCCUGCAGUGGCUGGAGCACACAGACCUGAGGCUGUCGUCCAGUAAGACGGUGUGGGGAAUGCCAGACUCUGCCAAUGAAAGACUGAAUGCUCAUUUGGAGUUGUGUAAUGAGAUGGAUUCCAAAAU